rnacentral:lncRNA from 1 species
GCACCUGAUUUAGUGAUUUCCCUAUAGGUUUAAUAUAGUUGGCAGCUAUUGGAUAUUAUUGUUGUCGGAGAAUUGAGCUGGCUUAGACCAUUGAGUUAGAGUCGAAAAAGGAUGGCGGUCGUCAGACAAUCAGUCGAGAUCUUCGAAACUAGUCGCUAGCAUCAGAUCCUUGAUCAUCCCUCAGGCUGAUCUUGCAAAACCACCAAAGAUAAAAAAAAUCCUCAUUGUGGGAGAUUUUUUGAUGACGGACCCUCUGACGCCUAGCAAAAUUAGUUUUCCAUAGAAGCAAGCAGAAGAGAUCUGAAUGAUGGAUGAAAAGAUGAGGUGGUGUCAAGUAUGAAGUGUGGA